UACGUAGGGGGCAAGCGUUGACCGGAUUUAUUGGGCGUAAAGAGCGUGUAGGCGGCUGGGUAGGUCCGUUGUGAAAACUCGAGGCUCAACCUCGAGACGCCGAUGGAAACCCUCCAGCUAGAGUCCGGAAGAGGAGAGUGGAAUUCCUGGUGUAGCGGUGAAAUGCGCAGAUAUCAGGAAGAACACCCGUGGCUAAGGCGGCUCUCUAGUACGGUACUGACGCUGAGACGCGAAAGCGUGGGGAGCGAACAGG
rnacentral:rRNA from 1 species